UUGGGCUGCCUCGUCGAGAUGAGCUACCGUAGCAGAAUUCGAUAGAACGUAUCUGUUGAGAUGGGCUACCUAUCAAGUUGGGCUACCUUAAUACCUAUCAAGUUGUGCUACCUACAGUAGUGGCACUGCCAUUUCGUAUUUUCAAACGAUUUAGGGCCAUUUAUAUAAUAAUAUAAUAUGUUUUAUGUACAUUUACACCCAAACCCCAACAUUAAAAAUGCACAUUUACAAAUAAACAGGAUUUUCCGGUCAUUGGUAGUAAGACAAAUGUGUUAAAUCAGGCUCCAACCAUAACCUCUAACGCUGAUAUUUACCACGUUAUGUACAGUAUUUUAGCCUACUUCCUGUUAUCUGUGUUCAUUCUUGGCAAAGCCAUGAGAUAUCGAUGGCUUUGGUUCUGGGGAAGCUGUGGAACUUGCUGCUUAAACGAUCUGUUGGAAACGACGACAUCGAGGCAUCAGAUGAAUCAUUUACAUAAUUUACAUUAUGAAUCUGCAAUAUCAAGAGGAGUGCUCCCAUGAAUUCAUCCAUAGGUGUCUUGUGGGUAUUAAUCCUGAGAGGGGGACAAAGGCAAAUGGCAGGAAAACAAGAAGCACCCCUCCUCAGGUUUCCAUGUGCUCCGAAAACUGAUGGACUGUUGUUAUGCCCUCGUCUGAAAAUGAUGGUGUGCUGGAUGGGAGAGGUCAGAGAUGAUGUUUACGGCUUUCUUGGAAAGAAAAAAAAGGCAGACUACAGCCAACGAUUUUAGAGGCCCUGUGUACUACCCUCUCAAGCCGUUGUUUGUCCUGGCUGGUGGUGGCACUACCAUACCAUGCCAGAGCAGGAUGGAGAAGAAAAGCCCAAGGACUCAGAACAUGAAGCCAAAGAAGUAGAUGAUGACUCGGACCAGACAUACCAAAUGGAAAAGCCCAUUAAACAAAAGUAAUCAACCCUACUGGAGAUGAAUGCGAAAUUCUAAAUCAAGUUUUAACAUUAGAUUUCUAAGUUUCCAAAGGAUAGGUCAAGCAGAAGUAGUGCAAAAGGUGUCCUACUUGCUUCGGUAGGAGGGGAAACGUAUUGUCUAAUAAACGUUUUUAGUCUUGCACCAAAUCGUCAAGGUACUCAUGGCUGUCAGUUAGCGGUAUAACAAUAUUUUAACAAUUUUUUUAAGAAAUCUUAAGUGAUGAAAUAUAUUGCUCUACGCUCUAUAGGGCUGCUUGAUUAUCGUAAUAAACAUUAUCACGAUUAUUUUGUUCAAUAUUGAGAUCACGAUUAUUAGAUGUGAUUACUCAGUGAUUUUGGAACUAUCAUCCAUAUUCAAAAUGCAAUUUUUAAAAAUGUUUUAGUUGAAUUUUAAAUAUAAUCCAACAGGAAAAAAUACAUGUAAAAAGAUAAUGCACAAGACAACUUGAGACAAAAGGAGAGCAUUGUAAUGAAACUGAAUGUUGCAAAAUAAUGAUUAUAUUUUGAUUAUGCUAUUUUCAUAAUUGUUUAAUUUGAGUUAUUUCACAAUAGGUUUCAAAGAAUUGCUGUACUACUUUAAGAUUAUUAUUUUUAUUUAUGUGGUGAUGAUGAUGCCUCCCUUCCUUCAGAUGGAGGCUGCUGAGGCAGUUCAUCAAUACAACACACACAAACACACAAAUGACGUGGAAAUAAAGCAUGCCAUGCUUAACUCAUCAAGUGAAGUGUUAUUUGGAUAAGAUCGUACCAAUGUAGUAAUACAAUAUGUAUCUACUCAUGAUAAAGUGAAGGUAUUGCUACAACAUUUAAAGGUGAAUAUCUCUGGCCUAUCACUGAGAUGUGUUUAUAGUCAGAAGUUGCAGAGCAUCUUCAAAAGUAUGACACCCAUUAGGCUCCAUGAUCUUGGCAAAUUUGAGCUGGUUU